rnacentral:rRNA from 1 species
UGGGGAAUUUUGGACAAUGGGGGAAACCCUGAUCCAGCCAUGCCGCGUGUGCGAAGAAGGCCUUCGGGUUGUAAAGCACUUUUGUCAGGAACGAAAAGUUCUACCUUAAUACGGUGGGACGAUGACGGUACCUGAAGAAUAAGCACCGGCUAACUACGUGCCAGCAGCCGCGGUAAUACGUAGGGUGCAAGCGUUAAUCGGAAUUACUGGGCGUAAAGCGUGCGCAGGCGGUUGUGUAAGACAGAUGUGAAAUCCCCGGGCUCAACCUGGGAACUGCAUUUGUGACUGCACGGCUAGAGUGUGUCAGAGGGGGGUGGAAUUCCACGUGUAGCAGUGAAAUGCGUAGAUAUGUGGAGGAACACCAAUGGCGAAGGCAGCCCCCUGGGAUAACACUGACGCUCAUGCACGAAAGCGUGGGGAGCAAACAGGAUUAGAUACCCUGGUAGUCCACGCCCUAAACGAUGUCAACUAGUUGUUGGGUCAAUACUGACUUGGUAACGUAGCUAACGCGUGAAGUUGAC